AUGGCCGAGUGGUAAGGCGGGGGACUGCAAAUCCUUUUUCCCCAGUUCAAAUCCGGGUGUCGCCU
rnacentral:tRNA from 35 species